rnacentral:rRNA from 1 species
UCAGUUAUCGUUUAUUUGAUAGUACCUACUUACUUGGAUAACCGUGGUAAUUCUAGAGCUAAUACAUGCUAAAAACCUCGACUUCGGAAGGGGUGUAUUUAUUAGAUAAAAAACCAAUGCCCUCCGGGGCUCCUUGGUGAUUCAUAAUAACUUAACGAAUCGCAUGGCCUUGCGCCGGCGAUGGUUCAUUCAAAUUUCUGCCCUAUCAACUUUCGAUGGUAGGAUAGUGGCCUACCAUGGUGGCAACGGGUAACGGGGAAUUAGGGUUCUAUUCCGGAGAGGGAGCCUGAGAAACGGCUACCACAUCCAAGGAAGGCAGCAGGCGCGCAAAUUACCCAAUCCCGACACGGGGAGGUAGUGACAAUAAAUACUGAUGUGGAGCUCUUUAGGGUUUCACAAUUGGAAUGAGAAAAAUCUAAACCACUUAAACGAGGAACAAUUGGAGGGCAAGUCUGGUGCCAGCAGCCGCGGUAAUUCCAGCUCCAAUAGCGUAUAUUAAAGUUGUUGCAGUUAAAAAGCUCGUAGUUGAACCUUGGGCCUGGCCGGUCGGUCCGCCUCACCGCGURCACUGGUUCGRCCGGGCCUUUCCUCCUGGGGAACCGCAUGCCCUUCACUGGGUGUGCCGGGGAAUCAGGACUUUUACUUUGAAAAAAUUAGAGUGUUCAAAGCAGGCAUUUGCUCGAAUACAUUAGCAUGGAAUAAUAGAAUAGGACGUUGUGGUUCUAUUUUGUUGGUUUCUAGGACCGCCGUAUA